GAUGAACGCUGGCGGCGUGCCUAAUACAUGCAAGUCGAGCGAACAGACGAGGAGCUUGCUCCUCUGACGUUAGCGGCGGACGGGUGAGUAACACGUGGAUAACCUACCUAUAAGACUGGGAUAACUUCGGGAAACCGGAGCUAAUACCGGAUAAUAUAUUGAACCGCAUGGUUCAAUAGUGAAAGACGGUUUUGCUGUCACUUAUAGAUGGAUCCGCGCCGCAUUAGCUAGUUGGUAAGGUAACGGCUUACCAAGGCAACGAUGCGUAGCCGACCUGAGAGGGUGAGCGGCCACAAGGGAAAGGAGACACGGGCAAGACGCAGACGGGAGGCAGCAGUAGGGAAUCUUCCGAAAUGGGCGAAAGCAGGACGAAACAACGUAGCGGGAGUGAUGAAGGGCUUCGGAUCGUAAAACUCUGUGAGGAGGGAAGAAAAAAAGGGUAAGUAACUAUGCACGGCUUGACGGUACCGAAUAAGAAAGCCACGGAGAAAUACGGG
rnacentral:rRNA from 1 species